rnacentral:rRNA from 1 species
AGAAUCAACGCUGGCGGCGUGCCUAACACAUGCAAGUCGAACGAGAAAGUGGAGCAAUCCAUGAGUAAAGUGGCGCACGGGUGAGUAACACGUGACUAACCUACCCUUGAGUGGGGGAUAACCUAGAGAAAUCUGGGCUAAUACCGCAUAAUACCUUCGAGUCAAAGGAGCAAUUCGCUUAAGGAGGGGUCGCGGCCGAUUAGUUAGUUGGCGGGGUAAUGGCCCACCGAAGACUAUGAUCGGUA